UACGGAGGGAGCUAGCGUUAUUCGGAAUUACUGGGCGUAAAGCGCACGUAGGCGGCUUUGUAAGUUAGAGGUGAAAGCCCAGGGCUCAACCCUGGAAUAGCCUUUAAUACUGGAUAUCUUGAGUUCGGGAGAGGUGAGUGGAACUCCGAGUGUAGAGGUGAAAUUCGUAGAUAUUCGGAAGAACACCAGUGGCGAAGGCGGCGCACUGGACCAUAACUGACGCUGAGGCGCGAAAGCUAGGGGAGCAAACAGG
rnacentral:rRNA from 1 species